AUAAAAACUUUGUAUUCCAUUACAAUAGAAGAUAUCGCAAUUAUAGUAGCACUGAUCAUAUGGGUAGAGGAUCCAGCUAAACCUGCACUAAUAACGGAAACAAAUUUCUCAACUCUCUCGGGCUUUGAGUUGCCAAAUUCAACCGAAUUUACGGCUGACUUAGCAAUGUUGAAUAAAAGUUGAAAGGCGGUAUGACGAGCCUUUUCGUUAACUUCUUUAAGCGAUAUUAUUGCUUCGGGAAGUAACUGUGGAAUCGCAAUAACUAAUUCGCUGGACUGAAGCUCGUA